rnacentral:rRNA from 1 species
UACAGAGGUCUCAAGCGUUGUUCGGAUUCAUUGGGCGUAAAGGGUGCGUAGGUGGCGCCGUAAGUCAGGUGUGAAAUUUCGGAGCUUAACUCCGAAACUGCAUUUGAUACUGCGGUGCUUGAGGACUGGAGAGGAGACUGGAAUUUACGGUGUAGCAGUGAAAUGCGUAGAGAUCGUAAGGAAGACCAGUGGCGAAGGCGGGUCUCUGGACAGUUCCUGACACUGAGGCACGAAGGCCCAGGGGGAGCAAACGGG